rnacentral:rRNA from 1 species
UUCGGGUUGUAAAGCACUUUCAGUCGUGAGGAAGGCGGGUACGGUUAAUAGCGUAUUCGUUUGACGUUAGCGACAGAAGAAAGCACCGGCUAACUCCGUGCCAGCAGCCGCGGUAAUACGGAGGGUGCGAGCGUUAAUCGGAAUUACUGGGCGUAAAGCGCAUGCAGGUGGUUUGUUAAGUCAGAUGUGAAAGCCCGGGGCUCAACCUCGGAAUAGCAUUUGAAACUAGGCAGACUAGAGUACUGUAGAGGGGGGUAGGAAUUUCAGGUGUAGCGGUGAAAUGCGUAGAGAUCUGAAGGAAUACCGGUGGCGAAGGCGGCCCCCUCGGACAGAUACUGACACUCAGAUGCGAAAGCGUGGGGAGCAAACAGGAUUAGAUACCCCUGGUAG